AUGCAGACCGUGAUGUGCUCCAAGCUGCAUGAUUCAAUGGGAAGGAAGCACACCACUAUAGGAGGUCAUCAAGAAAGUAAGAUAAAACAGCACUCUGAAAGGAACAGCAGCAGGACAUCACUGAAAAUAUUAUCAAAGAAAGAAAACGGUUUUCUUAAAGGGCAGCACUCUCCAUGGCAGAGCUGCUCCUUUUCAUUUGCUUUUUUACAAGCUUCACAUAUCUGUGUACCUCUGGUAAUUGAAGGUAACAUACAUGGUGUUUUCUCCCUGUGAAAGUACUUAGAAACUACUUGAAUGACCACUACUGGUGACUGUGGUAGGGAAAAAAAGCAGCUUGGCCUCUCACCAUCAGGAGUUAUUUUGCUGUAUUCACCACAAAACGGACCUAAUUGCCACCAAUGUAUUUGAUCUGGUAAUGUUUAAAUCUUCUAGCUUUCUCUAAGCCCAUUCAGCCAAGCAUUUCCCCUGAGGUCUUUAACUUCCUUUAUCCAAUGUCUAUAUCCUGUAAAUUUGACCUUGAUAGUGAUUUAUCACCUAUUUCCUUCUUGCUAUUAUUUUAUUAAGUACUGGUCUUUGCUUUGUCUUGAAUCAGGAUGCUCUGUCAGCUGUAGUUCUCGUCUUGAUAACGGAAUUGUUAUCUGAUGGUUCUUACUCUUUAACAACUGUAUUAUUUUUAAAGAAUGUCAGAUUUGG
rnacentral:lncRNA from 1 species